rnacentral:rRNA from 1 species
UUCCGGUUGAUCCCGCCGGACCUGACUGCUAUCGGAUUGAUACCAAGCCAUGCGAGUCUUUGUAGCAAUACAAGGCAGACGGCUCAGUAACACGUAGUCAAUCUACCCUAUGGACGGGGAUAACCUCGGGAAACUGAGAAUAAUACCCGAUAGAUCAUUAUGCCUGGAAUGGUUUAUGGUCGAAAUGAUUUAUCGCCGUAGGAUGGGACUGCGGUCUAUCAGCUUGUUGGUGAGGUAAUGGCCCACCAAGGCUAUAACAGAUACGGGCUCUGAGAGGAGAAGCCCGGAGAUGGGUACUGAGACACGGACCCAGGCCCUAUGGGGCGCAGCAGGCGAGAAAACUUUGCAAUGUGCGAAAGCACGACAAGGUUAAUCCGAGUGUUUUCUGCUAAAGAAAUCUUUUGUCAGUCCUAAAAACACUGAUGAAUAAGGGGUGGGCAAGUUCUGGUGUCAGCCGCCGCGGUAAAACCAGCACCUCAAGUGGUCAGGAGGAUUAUUGGGCCUAAAGCAUCCGUAGCCGGCCGUGUAAGUUUUCGGUUAAAUCUAUACGCUCAACGUAUAGGCUGCCGGGAAUACUGCACAGCUAGGGAGUGGGAGAGGUAGACGGUACUCGGUAGGAAGGGGUAAAAUCCUUUGAUCUAUUGAUGACCACCUGUGGCGAAGGCGGUCUACUAGAACACGUCCGACGGUGAGGGAUGAAAGCUGGGGGAGCAAACCGGAUUAGAUACCCGGGUAGUCCCAGCUGUAAACAAUGCAAACUCAGUGAUGCACUGGCUUGUGGCCAGUGCAGUGCCGCAGGGAAGCCGUUAAGUUUGCCGCCUGGGAAGUACGUACGCAAGUAUGAAACUUAAAGGAAUUGGCGGGGGAGCACCACAAGGGGUGAAGCCUGCGGUUCAAUUGGAGUCAACGCCGGA